rnacentral:snRNA from 1 species
GUACUUGCUUCAGCAGCACGUACAACAAAAUUGUAGCCUUAUAGAGAAGACUAGCAUAGUCCCUGUGCAAGGGUGAUACAGAUUCAUCAAAGUCCAUAUUU